rnacentral:rRNA from 1 species
GACGAACGCUGGCGGCGUGCUUAACACAUGCAAGUCGAACGGAAAGGCCCUGCUUUUGUGGGGUGCUCGAGUGGCGAACAGGUGAGUAACACGUGAGUAACCUGCCCUUGACUUUGGGAUAACUUCAGGAAACUGGGGCUAAUACCGGAUAGGAGCUCCUGCUGCAUGGUGGGGGUUGGAAAGUUUCGGCGGUUGGGGAUGGACUCGCGGCUUAUCAGCUUGUUGGUGGGGUAGUGGCUUACCAAGGCUUUGACGGGUAGCCGGCCUGAGAGGGUGACCGGCCACACUGGGACUGAGAUACGGCACAGACUCCUACGGGAGGCAGCAGUGGGGAAUAUUGCACAAUGGGCGGAAGCCUGAUGCAGCAACGCCGCGUGCGGGAUGACGGCCUUCGGGUUGUAAACCGCUUUCGCCUGUGACGAAGCGUGAGUGACGGUAAUGGGUAAAGAAGCACCGGCUAACUACGUG